AUCCAGAUGACAAGUCCCACAUAGGACGAAAUGUGCGUUAUCGUGGAU
rnacentral:hammerhead_ribozyme from 1 species